GAUGAACGCUAGCGGCAGGCCUAACACAUGCAAGUCGAGGGAGAAGCCCUUUCGGGGGCAGAAACCGGCGCACGGGUGCGUAACGCGUAUGCAACCUACCUUUCACAGGGGGAUAGCCCGAAGAAAUUUGGAUUAAUACCCCAUAAUAUUAUUGGAUGGCAUCAUUUGAUAAUUAAAACUGCGGUGGUGAAAGAUGGGCAUGCGUCCUAUUAGCUAGUUGGAGUGGUAACGGCACCCCAAGGCUACGAUAGGUAGGGGUCCUGAGAGGGAGAUCCCCCACAAUGGUACUGAGACAGGGACCAGACACCUACGGGAGGCAGCAGUGAGGAAUAUUGGUCAAUGGUCGGAAGACUGAACCAGUCAUGCCGCGUGCAGGAAGAAUGCCUUAUGGGUUGUAAACUGCUUUUAUAUGGGAAGAAUAAGGCGUACGUGUACGUUGAUGACGGUACCAUAUGAAUAAGCAUCGGCUAACUCCGUG
rnacentral:rRNA from 1 species